AUACGGGGGGUGCAAGCGUUAAUCGGAAUUACUGGGCGUAAAGCGCGCGUAGGCGGUUUGCUUAGUCGGAUGUGAAAGCCCAGGGCUCAACCUUGGAACUGCAUACGAUACUGGCAAACUAGAGUGUGAGAGAGGAUAGUGGAAUUUCCGGUGUAGCGGUGAAAUGCGUAGAUAUCGGAAGGAACAUCAGUGGCGAAGGCGACUGUCUGGCUCAACACUGACGCUGAGGUGCGAAAGCGUGGGUAGCAAACAGGAUUAGAAACCCCAGUAGUCC
rnacentral:rRNA from 1 species